rnacentral:lncRNA from 1 species
UACCAGCUCCUCUUUGUACCUCUGGUAGAAUUCGGCUGUGAAUCCAUGUGGUCCUGGACUUUUUUUGGUUGGUAAGCUAUUAAUUAUUGCCUCAAUUUCAGAUCCUGUUAUGGGUCUAUUCAGAGAUUCAACUUCUUCCUGGUUUAGUCUUGGGAGGAUGUAUGUGUCGAGGAAUUUAUCCAUUUCUUCUAGAUUUUCUAGUUUAUUUGCGUAGAGGUGUUUACAGUAAUCUCUGAUGGUAGUUUGUAUUUCUGUGGGAUCGGUGGUGAUAUCCCCCUUAUCAUUUUUUAUUGCAUCUAUUUGAUUCUUCUCUCUUUUCUUCUUUAUUAGUCUUGCCAGCAGUCUAUCAAUUUUGUUGAUCUUUAUUUUUUAUUUUAAGUCCUGGGACACAUGUGCAGAAUGUGCAGGUUUGUUACAUAGUAUACAUGUGCCAUGGUGGUUUGCUGCACCUAUCAACCCGUCAUCUAGGCUUUAAGCCCUGCAUGCAUUAGGUAUUUGUCCUAAUGCUCUCUCUCUCCUUGCCCUCAACCCCUUGACAGGCCCUGGUGUGUGAUGUUCCCCUCCCUGUGUCUAUGUAUUCUCAUUGUUCAACUCCCACUUAUGAGGGAGAACAUGGGGUGUUUGGUUUUCUGUUCCUGUUAGUUUGCUGAGCAUGAUGGCUUCCAGCUUCAUCCAUGUCCCUGCAAAGGACAUGAACUCAUUUCUUUUUAUGGCUGCAUAGUAUUCCAUGGUGCCACAUUUUCUUUAUCCAGUCUAUGAUUGAUGGGUAUUUGGGUAAAUAAUUUCGUUAUUUACCCAGUAGUCAUUCAGGAGCAGGCUGUUCAAUUUCCAUGUAGGUGUGCAGUUUUGAGUGAGUUUUUUAAUCCUGAGUUCUAAUUUGAUUGCACUGUGGUUUGAGAGACUAUUUGUUAUGAUUUCUGUUCGUUUGCAUUUGCUGAGGAGUGCUUCAGUUCAAUGGGUUAGAACAUGCUCCUUUAGCUCAGAGGAGUUUGUUAUUAUCCACCUCCUGAAGCCUACUUCUGCUACUGGAGUACAAAAAAAUACUCCUGCAGCUAGCUCAGUGUCUGCUCAAACAGUUGCCCAGUUUUGUGCUUGAAACCCAGGGCCCUGGUGGUGUAGGCAUAUGAGAGAAUCUCCUGAUCUGCAGAUUGAAAAAACCGUGGGAAAAGUGUAGUAAUUCAGUGGGGUAGCACAGUCCCUCACGGCUUCCCUUGGAUGGGGGGAGGGAGGUCCCCGGCUCCUUGUACUUCCCGGGUGAAGCAAUGCCCUACCCUGCUUGUGCUUGCCCUCCGUGGGUUGGAGCCACUGCCCAACCAGUUCCAAUGAGAUGAACUGGGUACCUCAAUUGGAAAUGCAGAAAUCACCCACCUUUUGCGAUGGUCUCGCUGAGAGCUACAGACCAGAGCUUUUCCUAUUGGGCCAUCUUGGCCCCUCCUCCUCAAACUUUUUAAUAACAUGCUUCUAGGUACUAGCUCUAGAAAUCCAAGAUCAAUAUGACAGAAAAAGGGCCUAGUGAUCUGAAUGCUAAGACAGUGUUUUUUUUUUUUUUCCUGGUGAUUCUGAUGCACAACUUUAUUUGGGAACCACUGUUUUUGAGUCUACUGUAGUUAAACCAUUUUAGUGAUUGCAGUGUGCCUAAAGCAUAUAAGGAUAAACAAUGAAUUAAUAAACAGUUGGGACAGCAGGAUUAAUAAUCUGAAAAUUGUAAAAUAGGAAGGGUUUUUGAAAACAACAGUAAAGCUUGAGGAACUCAGUUUUACCUGCCUUUUUAUCUUACUUCUCACUCAAUGUAGAUAUUUAAAAAAUAGUACAAAACAUACAUAAUUUCAGAAUAUACAUUUUAAAAUAUUUUAUUCCAGAAAUUUAUACUUUUUCAUUUUCAAGAAUAAAACUCAGGAAUGGAAACAGUUCUCAAAAAGUUAUGUAAAAUCACCAAUACUCUUCUUGAAAUUCCCUACCCCACCACUGUGUCCUUCCUGUUAGUAGAUGAUCCUGUCUUCUACUUUACAAAGAAAAUUGAAGCUUUUAGGUAAACUCCUUUGAAUUUUACUCCCAAAUCUACAUAGAUUCUCUAUAUCUGUGUCCUUCCUGACUUUAAGUCCGCUUGUCUUGGAAAAAGAGGUGGCUUCAGAAUCUUUUUUUUUUUUUUUUGAGACAGAGUUUUGUUCUUGUUGCCCAGGCUGGAGUGCAAUGGCACGAUCUCGGCUCACUGCAACCUCUGCCUCAUGGGUUCAAGCGAUUCUCCUGCCUCAGCCUCCC